GUGUCAGCAGCCGCGGUAAAACGUAGGAGCCAAGCGUUAUCCGAAUUUACUGGGUGUAAAGCGCAUGCAGGCGGCUCGGUAAGUUGGGUGUGAAAUCUUCUGGCUCAACUAGGAGAGGACGCUCAAGACUGUCGAGCUAGAGAGUGGCAGAGGGAGGUGGAAUUCCCGGUGUAGUGGUGAAAUGCGUAGAUAUCGGGAGGAACACCAGUGGCGAAAGCGGCCUCCUGGGCCAUUUCUGACGCUCAGAUGCGAAAGCUAGGGGAGCGAACGGGAUUAGAAACCCCCGUAGUCC
rnacentral:rRNA from 1 species